AGUAAAAUAAACUUGGUUAAAACAAAAUCAAGAAAUAAGUUAAUAACUAAUACAAUCAAUGGUUGUUUAUUAACGUCUCAGUGUGUGAAAAAAGAUGGUAACUGCGUAGAUUUUACACCUACUCAGAAUAUGUAUGCAAGAAUGAACAAAAUUGAUAUGUAUUCUAAUUCUUCUAGUUCUAGUAUCGAAGUUGAUGAAGGUGAAUUUGUCAUAGACGGUUGAAAUAUAAAUUUUUGAAAAGAGGACACAUGAAGACAUGAAUGCAAAUCAUAUUUAUGUUACAAUGGAAUCAGAAGGUUUUACAGAAGCAAGUAGCAGUUCGGCCACCCCCAAACGUAGUGGUAGUAAGCUGAGCCCCUUAACCAUUAUUUCAGAAAUGGCUCAGUUAUUAGAAAUGUUUUUUGAAAGAUGCCAGCUUUUCUACUCAUGUCUCUGUGUAGAAAUUAGAAAACGGUAUGAUUUCGACAAUUUUAUUUUGCCAAAAUUGCAGAUAUUUGUGCCUAAAAAUGCAGUUUCUUCAGAUAUACACCAGCAGUUCCCAUCAUUAGCUCAUGUGCUCCAAAAUAUGACACGUUUUUAUGACAGUAGUGAAGGUCAACUAAUCGAUGAACAGUGGAGGUUGCUGCCAGAUUACCAUUUUACUGCUGAUGAAGAAAAAAAAUAGACAUCAACGAGGACAUUGACAUAUUCUGGGGAAAACUCCAAAAAUAUACAAAUGAAAUGGGUGUAUUUGAAUUCCAGAAAUUGUCACAGUUCGUACUGAAUAUAUUAUCCCUUCCGCACUCAAAUGCUGAAUGCGAAAAAGAGUCUCCAGUAAAAUAAACUUGGUUAAAACAAAAUCAAGAAAUAAGUUAAUAACUAAUACAAUCAAUGGUUGUUUAUUAACGUCUCAGUGUGUGAAAAAAGAUGGUAACUGCGUAGAUUUUACACCUACUCAGAAUAUUUCUAGUAUCGAAGUUGAUGAAGAUGAAUUUGUCAUAGACGAUUGAAAUAUAAAUUUUUGAAAAGAGGACACAUGAAUGCAAAUCAUAUUUAUGUUACAAUGGAAUCAGAAGGUUUUACAGAAGCAAGUAGCAGUUCGGCCACCCCCAAACGUAGUGGUAGUAAGCUGAGCCCCUUAACCAACCAGAGAAUUGAAAGAAUGAAGGCUAAAAUCAAUUCUUUGAAGUGCAAAAUAUUUAGGCGUAAAGUUCCCCACUGUUU